UACGUAGGGGGCGAGCGUUGUCCGGAAUUAUUGGGCGUAAAGAGCUCGUAGGCGGUGUGUCACGUCGGCCGUGAAAACCUGGGGCUUAACUCUGGGCGUGCGGUCGAUACGGGCAUCACUAGAGUUCGGCAGGGGAGACUGGAAUUCCUGGUGUAGCGGUGAAAUGCGCAGAUAUCAGGAGGAACACCGGUGGCGAAGGCGGGUCUCUGGGCCGAUACUGACGCUGAGGAGCGAAAGCAUGGGUAGCGAACAGG
rnacentral:rRNA from 1 species